GCCUGUUCACCCCGCUAUCAUCCAGAAGGCGAGGUCAGUACAGGUGCAUCAAAGCUGGGACCAAGAGUCUAUCUAUCUUCUAUCUCAAGGCCAGACUGUUAAACAGCUCUCACUAACAUACAGUGGCUGCUGCCAACAUAUUGACUUAUUUCAUAGUUUUGAUGUCUUCACUAUUAUUCUACAAUGUAGAAAAUAGUAAAAAUAGAGAAAACCCUUCGGAUGAGCAGCUGUGGCCAAACUUUUGACUGGCACUGUAUGUAGUAAAUAAGUAAAGAACUACAGGUAUUAGGUAGAACGUGUGAUGUAGUGAUGAAGAGUAAAUUAGUGGGAUUGGCGCCAUUUGGUGGCAACUAUAAACAACUGCAUAAUAAGACCUAAUAUAAAUUGAUGUACUCGUGACUCGACUUGUGACUCAGACUUGGAGUCAGACUCGACGGACUGAAAAACAGCUUCUAUCUCAAGGCCAUCAGACUGUUAAACAGCCACCACUAACAUUGAGUGGCUGCUGCCAACAUACUGACUCAACUUCAGCCACUGUAAUACAUUUAAUGAAUUGAUUUAAUAAAGGUAUCACUAGUCACUUUAAAUAAUGGCACUUUAAAAAUGUCUACAUAUCCUACAUUACUCAUCUCAUAUGUAUAUACUGUAUUCUACACCAUCUACUGCAUCUUGCCUAUGACGCAAAGGAAUCACUCAUCCAUAUAUUUAUAUGUACAUAUAUUAAUCCUUCCUUUACACUUGUGUGUAUAAGGUAGUUGUUGUGAAAUUGUUAGAUUACUUGUUAGAUAUUACUGCAUGGUCAGAACUAGAAGCACAAGCAUUUCACUACAUUCGCAUUAACAUCUGUUAACCAUGUGUAUGUGACCAAUAAAAUAGAUUUUGUUUUGAAGUCUCCUUGUCUGAGAGAAUUACACGGUUAUCAAACCAUCAUGCCAGAGUAAGCCUACAGGAAACACAGCCCUUAUUUGAAGUGUAUCUCAAAUCCCCUACGGGAGAAAUGAAUGGUGCAAAAAGGAUUGGAACCAUUUCCGUGUUCGACCACUAGGUUUAAUGGGUAGGAUGACUCACACUGUGCUACUCUAUUGAAUGUUGAUAUUCCCGAAAGGCCAGUCUCUUUGGCAAUGACAAGGAGUGGCACGUUAGCUAAAGAGACUGGUACUUAGCCUAUGUACUCCCUGCAUAGUAGUUGAAAACAAACAAGGUGACCACGUUUCAUGAAUAAUUGUAAUGGCUGUCGUUGGUGGAAGAAGGUGAGGACCAAGGUGCAGCUUGGUAAGUGUUCAUGAUUUUUAAUAUAAUCAAAACUGAACACUAAACAAAAAAAAUAACUAGGAAGAACGAACAAAUGAAACAGUCCUGUCUAGUGAAAACACAAAACAGAAAACAAACACCCACGAAACACAGGUGGAAAAAGACUACCUAAGUAUGAUUCUCAAUCAGAGACAACUAAUGACACCUGCCUCUGAUUGAGAACCAUACCAGGCCAAACUCAAAAAACCAACAUAGAAAAACCAACAUAGACUGCCCACCCCAACCCACGCCCUGACCAUACUAAAACAAAAGACAAAAGAGAGGAACUAAGGUCAGAACGUGACAAUAAUGGCGACAUCACAGUACAGAAUGGAUCCACAUCCACUGACUCUGUGUUGCCUAUAGAGUUUUCUCUACUCAAUCUGCUAAAUCUUUCUCUACAACAAUCUCUGAAUCAGGAGACAAUCAGUACUUCCUAUAAAUAUGUUUGGGGCUGUUAUGGUCCUGAGUGGUUGUCUUGACAGGAUUCAGAGUUGUCCCAUCAGAACCAUCUGAAAAAUAUUAAUUCACGUGUCUUGACUUUGGUAGAUUAAAAAAAUAAUAAUUAUAAACCAGUCUGAAGAAUGAGGGACCAGCGCAUCUGACCCAACAUUUGGGAAACACUACUUUACAGGAAGAGUACUCAUAUAUGUAUCUAGAUGCUAAAUGGAAGAUGUACUAUUUCUGAUUGAAUUUGUCCUGAGGCGUUGAAGGUGAUGUCACCACCAUCUUCAGUGCCCUUUAAUAUCUAGUUCAGGAGGAGAAAAACAUCCUCUUUUAAAAUAACUCUUCAUCAUCAGACACAUACAGUAGAGAGCAGGGUGCUUGUUCACUCAUCACUGAUAUCAGGAGUUUACUUUAACGUCAUUCAAUUUUAGCACUGGCAGAGUUACAUAGACAAGCAGGGAUUCAUAUGGGAACAGAGAAGUGUGAAAUGCACCACAGCAAAUGUGAAGAUCAAAACACAAGUUAGACAUAAGUUAGACUGCAUAUACACAUACUGUAAAUGCUUUGUGUUGACCAAGGUAAUACAUCUGACUUUGGCCCCAUGUUGUACCACUCAUACAAUCUACAAUACAACUGAGAAGGGAAAUAGUAUUAAAUACAAUACCAGCAGAAGAUGGGGAGGUGGUUGACAAGGCUGGUCUUGUAGUAGAGGCUGUACUUCCUGGAUAGUAGUUGAAAACAGAGUGACCACUUUUCAUUGGUGAAUACUGGUGACAUCACAGUACAGAAUGGAUCCACAACUCACUCUGUGUUGCCUGUAGAGUUCUCUACUCCAUCUGUUACAUCUUUCUCUACUCCAAUGUCUAGAGCACUAGACAAGCAGUACUUCCUAUUAAUAUAUUAAUAUGUUUGGGCCUGUUUUUACAUGACCAGUCUUAUACUGUUGUGGAGUACUGCUGGUUGUCCUGACGGGAAUUAGAGAAGUUACACCAGAACUGUCUGAAAAACAUAUAAUCUUUCUGGACCCAGUCUCAAACCCUGACACAGUAAGGAAAACACAAUACCCAGUUAUAUGUAUCCAGAGGACAGAUAAAACUUUUACUAUAUCUGCACACAUCAUACAGAUGAGAGUAUUUUACCUGGGAGAGUAGAGAUGACAUCAUCGUUAUCAGUGGUCUUUUCUUCUAUAUCUAAUUCAGUAGGAGAUGAACAUCCUCUUUUAGUUUAUUAAAUAACCCAUCAUCAUCAUCAUCAUCAUCAGACACAGCAGUAGGAUUCAAAUGCAUCACUAAUAUCAGAAAUACCAGGAGAAUGAAUCAGAUUUGAUAUUAACUUUAAUAUCAUCACAGAUCUUGUGAACUUAUUCAGAUUAUAGGAACAUAACAAGAACACAUACCUGAGAAUGUGGAGGUGAAGUCAAUGGAGAUCUUCAUGUUUCCCUUUUCGGUCAGCGUGCACGUCCACUUCCUGUUGUUGUCCUUCUUCUGGAGUGUCACAGUCAGAGUGAUGUCACAGGAAGAAUCCUGUGUGUUCUGGGAAUUAGUACCUGUUUUAGGGACCCAGCUGAGACUAAAUCCUGACCGGCACGUUCCAUGUUGUGUAUAGGUGAGCAGAGAACACCGUAAUGUCAUAAUUACAUUAGGCUUCAGAUCUGUCACUGCUGUGGUAGAGGAGACUGAGAAAGAGAAAAAGGUAUACAGUACUUGUUGGUUGUUUUCACAUUACAUAUGAUUAUUAACACCACACUUAUACACAGUGACAUUUAAACUCUGAUUUAAACAGUAAUACUCACUAGUUAGAACAGACAGAUGAACAGGAGCAUCACCUCCAUGUUGUGGUCCAGUCUCUGUAAGGUACUGUCGACAGGUGUAGAGUCCAACAUCCUCAGCUCUGACAUCACUAACAUGUAGAGAACAGUUAGACCCUAAACUCAGUCGCUCUGCUCUCUCUGUCUGGUCAACUUUGAUCUUCCCCAAUGUGACCUCUUCAAUAUCACCAGUAGAUCCAUCUCUGUUAUAGAGCCAUGUAGUAGAGGAACAGUUUGGAUAAACCACAUUGUUACACGGCAGACUGACAUUAUCUCCCAUUCUGGAGAACAUAGAGAGAGUUUCUCCACUGACACCUGGAAAGAGUAUGACAUCAGAUAAUUAUUAACUGGUAAUACAGAUGACAUUAUAUUUCAUAGGUAUUCUUAUUGAUAUUCUUCAGUGUGAAUAAUAGUGUAAUAUACUGUCUAUUAUACAAUAGUGAAGAUAAGAGUAAACAGAUACACAACAGAAAUGUCAUCAUAAUAUUAGUCAAAUGUAAACUGAACUAGUUUGGCCGUGUGAAAUAAAUGUGUUCUAUGAUCUCUAAUGACAUAUUCUUACUCUCUCUCCUCUGUCUUACCUGUUAGCAGGUACAAAACGGUCAUAAGCAAUCCCAAAAAUGAUUGAGGGAUGUCAGCCAUGAUAUCCUCUCUCUCUCUCUGGUCUGUCUCUGUGUCUAUCUCUCUCUCUGUCUCUCUCUCUCUCUCUGCUCUGUUUCUGUCUCUUUCCUCUUUCAGAGUGUCUCAGCACUAUGAGUUUCUCACCAUACAGCAGCAUCUCUAUUCAUCACUAUAGCAUCACUUCCUCAAAGUGGUCAUGGUUUUAAUCUAGUUUCUGACACCUUGGUGAGAAUCCUCCAGCUCACCAGCAGUUGAAGGCUGUCAUGACUGUCCUGAUCAGGUCAGGUUACAGGAGACCACAACCCUACAGAUUAUCUCUCAACCCCAACAGAGGAGGAGAGAUCUAGGGGUCUGAAGAUGUGGGGAGUUUUAUGGCCCCUCACUCCCCUGGUAAAUCUCAGGCCACAGACAAAUUCCUUUGUCCUGUUACUAUGGAGAACCAGCCUCAGAACAUUAAACAUGAAAUAAAGGGACUUUGGAACAAUGGUUUUCUUCAGCCACAAUGGUGGUCAAUGGUGGACGAUAGAUGGAAUAUGAAAAUGUAUGUCAUUUUUGUUCUGUUAUUAAAGGAUAAUAGAUGACGUUAUUAUGAAAACAUUGUAAUGUGAAGGGUUUUCCUAGUAUAUGUCUGAUGUUUAUACAUUGUACGUUGUAUGGAAAAUAUAAAAAUCAAAGAGAAUGUUUUGGGGAAGAUGAAAUGUUAAGGUAGUCUAAAAUUGGAUUUGAGUCAAAUCUGGACCUUGCCUCAUUAACUUGGUACGCCCAGAGAAUUGCCCUAAAGGCGGCUACGCCCACUUCUGACCCAAGGGCAUAAAACCUGUGAGUAUAGAAUUUACAUGAGGACUAAGUGACCCCAGCUGCAGCAGGGCCUGAAAAAGUAAACGAACCCAGAACGCAACGCAAGCUUGAGGACAAAGAAAUAUUUUUCUACCCAAGCUACGGAUGAGUAGCUGUGUCUAAGCGGGUGAAUUCAAGUCGAACCACCUAGAUACCAUCGAAUCGUGGUAUCUAAAGGGUUUCAUUCCUAUGCUGUGAGCUCUGAGCUACAGAGCUGUCUGUCCUCAGAAGACCCCUUCCAGAGCAAGGGUGAGGGUACAGACUCCUAAGCCAAAAAGGACACUGACACCGGGAGGACGAGCAGGGAGGUGCGCAGGAGAAGUGCGUCAUCGAACAGCGGAACGGUCCACUCAGAGAAUCCUCGAAGAUCAUCCCCACGUAAUUACGUCAUUAUAUUCUGACCCAUAAGAGCGGCAGUUUGGGGCAAGGCUAGGGUUAGAAUAGCAUAGCUGACAAAUUCACCCAAAUGUAUAUUUCUCUUGUGUACUUUCUUUUUCUCUCUCUUUUGAAAUUCGACGUUCAGAACGAGAUUGUUAGAGGCAACUGGUUCCUUAGCAGCUGUUGUAAAAUCGAUAUUCUGAUACUCUUUGAGUUGAUUUGGGAAAUAGAAACUGAAUAAAAAAAUAGUUUUCCCAUGGUGCCCCAGGUUAAUGAGUCAAUAAUUGCUUGAUUCAGUUAAUCACGUAAUUAGAAACUUGUAAUCAUUCGAUGAGCAACAGUUAUCAUAUUAAUUAAUACAACGUCACGACAAGGCCUUCUUCACAUGUAUGAGAGUCUGUAUUAGUGAUGCAGGGAUUUGGCAUUAAUGUGGUCAUAUUCAAGUGGUGGUCGGUGCCAUUUAAUUGGAUGAUUCAUUCAUAUUCCAGUCACCCAGCUCAGUGUAACAUUGAUAAGUUUAUGCUACUACAUGAUACUAGAAUGAAUACACCCCUGAUCACAGGCAAAUACAGGUCACAUUCAUCGUAGCCAUAAACAAACAGCAUGAUCACUUUGCUUGUUAAUUCCUUCUCACAUCUCGACUCUCCUCCUCUCACCUUUUUCCUUCGCUUGUGGGAUCCAGUGCAAAACACCUCAGCUGUCUGUGACCAGACAACAAAACACUUCUAAGCCAAACCUUCAUAUUGUAACCGCUGACAAUUUGUCAGUUCAUGCUGCAAGAGCUCUGAUAGGUUGGCGGACGUCUUUCGGAAGUUGUCAUAGUUACUGUGGAAGAGGGAUUGGAAGUCAUUCAGAGAUGCUGCUGCCACAUCAUUGGCACUUCCUACAACUCCCUCCCAAGGCCUUCAAAGUGCUCCUGCACAACCACCAGUCCUCUGAACAAGUGUCUAACCCCUACACAGUAACAGUAUGAUCUGAGGAGUUCAAUGUAACACACUGCACUACCAGACACCACAGAUCAUUCACAAGAGCUCUCAAAUUAUUCAAAUGGUUUUCUCCAUCACUAAAGACAUUUAAUAUGACUAUUUAUUGAUUUGGGGGUGUCUAUUUGUUGUGUGACUUUAAUGACCCACUGUCCGUAUAUUAAGGAAGAUUCUACCUGUUUGUGUAUGACAUCCCAUGUUGUGUAUGACAUCACAUGUUAUGUAUGUUUCUACAUAUGUACCAAUAUGUUCUAAACCUGUCAAGUACUGAAGUGGACAUCCAAUCACGUUCCUGUAAUACCAGGGUAUAUUCCUCUUACCAGCUUAUUGAAGCAGCACAUAACUGUGUUUGUAAAGAAUCAGUAUUAAAAAAGGACAGAUGAGUGAAUUUCAAAUGUUAGAGAGGUGAAUGUAACUACAACCAAUGAUGUAGAUAUACACAGAAUAAUGAAUAUUAAUGUCUAUGUCUGCAACUGGUCCUUUUUCAGUGGUUAUUUCAGCUCAGACCACUUCUGUUUUUCUGAGACUGAGCAGAGAGAGAGAAAUAAGUCAUAGUGAUGGGUUGUAUUUUCAUUUUACCACAGAAUAUUACUUCACCCUAAAAAUAACACAUCUGAUCAUUUCACACCUUCAAAGAAGUAGAAAACAACACAAAGAUACCAUGGGAACAGUGGACUGUACUGUUUGUAUGGGAGUUGACAUAGAGACACUGUUUUGGGGGUUUUACUAGAUGGUAUUACUAGAUGGUAUACAGCUAUGGAUGGAAAUACAUUUCUCGUAGCAGGUUAGGAGACCUUACAUAGCAGGUUAGGAGAAUUAGGAUACGUUUGGGAAAGGGGUUAGGUUUAUCUUAAAUUAUCUCCUAACCUGCUGAGAAAAGUCACUUCCAUCAAUAGCUGUCCUCCUUCUAGUUACAACCUGCUUUUGGCUGUUGAGUUUGAUGUAUAUGUAAAUAUUUCCAUUGUUAUAAAUCUGAAUAUAACUGCAGUUAAUGAUGUACAUAAACAGAAUAAUAAGUA